UACGUAGGGGCAAGCGUUGUCCGGAUUUAUUGGGCGUAAAGAGCGUGUAGGCGGCCAUACAGGUCCGUUGUGAAAACUGGAGGCUUAACCUCCAGACGUCGAUGGAAACCGUAUGGCUAGAGUCCGGAAGAGGAGAGUGGAAUUCCUGGUGUAGCGGUGAAAUGCGCAGAUAUCAGGAAGAACACCCGUGGCGAAGGCGGCUCUCUGGGACGGUACUGACGCUGAGACGCGAAAGCGUGGGGAGCGAACAGG
rnacentral:rRNA from 1 species